rnacentral:rRNA from 1 species
AGCGAACGCUGGCGGCAGGCUUAACACAUGCAAGUCGAGCGGGCAUCUUCGGAUGUCAGCGGCAGACGGGUGAGUAACACGUGGGAACGUACCCUUCGGUUCGGAACAACUCUGGGAAACUGGAGCUAAUACCGGAUACGCCCUUAUGGGGAAAGGUUUACUGCCGAAGGAUCGGCCCGCGUCUGAUUAGCUAGUUGGUGGGGUAACGGCCUACCAAGGCGACGAUCAGUAGCUGGUCUGAGAGGAUGAUCAGCCACACUGGGACUGAGACACGGCCCAGACUCCUACGGGAGGCAGCAGUGGGGAAUAUUGGACAAUGGGCGCAAGCCUGAUCCAGCCAUGCCGCGUGAGUGAUGAAGGCCUUAGGGUUGUAAAGCUCUUUUGUCCGGGACGAUAAUGACGGUACCGGAAGAAUAAGCCCCGGCUAACUUCGCG